AGAGUUUGAUCAUGGCUCAGAAUGAACGCUGGCGGCGUGCUUAACACAUGCAAGUCGCACGAGAACGCUUCAGCUUGCUGAAGCUAGUAAAGUGGCGCACGGGUGAGUAACGCGUGGGUAAUCUAUCUCUGAAUUGGGGAUAACAUUGCGAAAGCGAUGCUAAUACCGGAUGAUAUCCAUUAAACCUCGGUUUUUUGGAUCAAAGGUGGCCUCUACAUGUAAGCUACUGUUUGGAGACGAGCCCGCGUACCAUUAGCUUGUUGGUAGGGUAACGGCUUACCAAGGCAACGAUGGUUAGCUGGUCUGAGAGGAUGAUCAGCCACACUGGAACUGACACACGGUCCAGACUCCUACGGGAGGCAGCAGUGAGGAAUUUUGCGCAAUGGGGGAAACCCUGACGCAGCAACGCCGCGUGAGUGAUGAAGGCUUUCGGGUCGUAAAGCUCUGUCAAGUGGGAAGAACCCGCGCCGCACAAAUAGUGCGGGGCGCUGACGGUACCACUGAAGGAAGCACCGGCUAACUCCGUGCCAGCAGCCGCGGUAAUACGGGGGGGUGCAAGCGUUAUUCGGAAUCAUUGGGCGUAAAGAGCGCGUAGGCGGUCUUCUAUGUCAGGUGUGAAAGCCCGGGGCUCAACCCCGGAAGUGCACUUGAAACUGGGAGACUUGAGUAUGGGAGAGGGAAGUGGAAUUCCUGGUGUAGCGGUGAAAUGCGUAGAUAUCAGGAGGAACACCGGUGGCGAAGGCGACUUCCUGGACCAAUACUGACGCUGAGGCGCGAAGGCGUGGGGAGCAAACAGGAUUAGAUACCCUAGUAGUCC
rnacentral:rRNA from 1 species